rnacentral:rRNA from 2 species
CGAGCGGACUUUCAAGAAGCUUGCUUUUUGAAAGUUAGCGGCGGACGGGUGAGUAACACGUGGGCAACCUGCCUGCAAGACGGGGAUAACUCCGGGAAACCGGGGCUAAUACCGGAUAAUAUCUUCCUUCGCAUGAAGGAAGGUUGAAAGGCGGCGCAAGCUGCCGCUUGCAGAUGGGCCCGCGGCGCAUUAGCUAGUUGGUGAGGUAACGGCUCACCAAGGCGACGAUGCGUAGCCGACCUGAGAGGGUGAUCGGCCACACUGGGACUGAGACACGGCCCAGACUCCUACGGGAGGCAGCAGUAGGGAAUCUUCCGCAAUGGACGAAAGUCUGACGGAGCAACGCCGCGUGAGCGAAGAAGGUCUUCGGAUCGUAAAGCUCUGUUGUCAGGGAAGAACAAGUACCGUUCGAACAGGGCGGUACCUUGACGGUACCUGACCAGAAAGCCACGGCUAACUACGUGCCAGCAGCCGCGGUAAUACGUAGGUGGCAAGCGUUGUCCGGAAUUAUUGGGCGUAAAGCGCGCGCAGGCGGUCUCUUAAGUCUGAUGUGAAAGCCCACGGCUCAACCGUGGAGGGUCAUUGGAAACUGGGAGACUUGAGUGCAGAAGAGGAGAGCGGAAUUCCACGUGUAGCGGUGAAAUGCGUAGAGAUGUGGAGGAACACCAGUGGCGAAGGCGGCUCUCUGGUCUGUAACUGACGCUGAGGCGCGAAAGCGUGGGGAGCGAACAGGAUUAGAUACCCUGGUAGUCCACGCCGUAAACGAUGAGUGCUAAGUGUUAGAGGGCUUCCACCCUUUAGUGCUGCAGCUAACGCAUUAAGCACUCCGCCUGGGGGAGUACGGCCGCAAGGCUGAAACUCAAAGGAAUUGACGGGGGCCCGCACAAGCGGUGGAGCAUGUGGGUUUAAUUCGAAGCAACGCGAAGAACCUUACCAGGUCUUGACAUCCUUCGCUACCUCUAGAGAUAGAGGGUUCCCCUUCGGGGGACGGAGUGACAGGUGGUGCAUGGUUGUCGUCAGCUCGUGUCGUGAGAUGUUGGGUUAAGUCCCGCAACGAGCGCAACCCUUGACCUUAGUUGCCAGCAUUCAGUUGGGCACUCUAAGGUGACUGCCGGUGACAAACCGGAGGAAGGUGGGGAUGACGUCAAAUCAUCAUGCCCCUUAUGACCUGGGCUACACACGUGCUACAAUGGAUGGUACAAAGGGUCGCGAAACCGCGAGGUGGAGCCAAUCCCAAAAAACCAUUCUCAGUUCGGAUUGCAGGCUGCAACUCGCCUGCAUGAAGCCGGAAUCGCUAGUAA